UACGAAGGGGGCUAGCGUUGUUCGGAUUUACUGGGCGUAAAGCGCACGUAGGCGGUUUGUUAAGUGAGAGGUGAAAUCCCAGAGCUCAACUCUGGAACUGCCUUUCAUACUGGCAAGCUAGAGUCCGGAAGAGGUAAGUGGAACUCCUAGUGUAGAGGUGGAAUUCGUAGAUAUUAGGAGGAACACCAGUGGCGAAGGCGGCUUACUGGUCCGGAACUGACGCUGAGGUGCGAAAGCGUGGGGAGCAAACAGG
rnacentral:rRNA from 1 species